AUGUUAUCAUCAAAGCUACUCGAUGCGCGAGCCGGCAUCUCCACUCUAUGCACGACCGCCACACCAUUGUUGAGCACGCGUACCACCACAAUUUCUCGUUGGACAAGGCAUAAAUCUCUUGAGGCCAUCAACAAACUGAAGUCUUCCUGCUUCCAUCAAUCUCAAAUGAUGGCAGGUGUCACAAAUGGCAAUUCACACAGUGAUAUUCAGAGAAAAUAUCAAGUUGUGGUUGCUGCUACCCGUGAGAUGGGCAUUGGGAAGGACGGAGCAUUGCCAUGGAAGCUGCCUAGUGACCUUAAGUUUUUUAAGGAUCUCACAAUGGCUACAGCAGACCCAUCAAAGAAAAAUGCUGUUAUAAUGGGAAGGAAAACAUGGGAAAGCAUACCCACUAAGUUUAGGCCAUUGCCCGGUCGCUUGAAUGUUAUACUGACUCGUUCGGACAGUUCUGAUUAUGCAACUGUUGAAAAUGUUGUCACCUGUGGAAGCUUGGAUUCUUCCCUAGAACUACUAGCAUCAGCUCCCUACAGCUCAACAAUUGAGAAAGCCUUUCUAAUAGGGGGUGGCCAGGUACUGAGGGAAUCGCUAAAUGCAUCUGCAUGUGAGGCCAUCCAUCUUACUGACAUAGAGUCCACCAUUGAGUGUGAUACUUUCAUUCCUCCUAUUGAUCCAUUGGUCUUCCACCCAUGGUAUUCAUCUUCUCCAGUUGUGGAGAACAACAUUAGGCAUUCUUUCGCGACCUUUGUUCGCGUUAGAAAGUCGGCAGAAGAGGCUAAUGACUCAAAUCUCAGUGAAUUAACCAGCAAUGAUGCUAAGAAGAAAAAGUUUGAAAUUCAGAAUUUUUCAUUUCUACCAAAAAUGAUCUUCGAAAAGCAUGAUGAGUAUCAGUAUCUCAAUCUUGUUCAAGAUAUACUACGAAGUGGUGCUCGGAAAAAUGACAGAACAGGAACAGGAACAAUAUCAAAAUUUGGUUGUCAGAUGCGGUUUAACUUGAGGAAGAAUUUUCCAUUACUUACAACAAAGAGGGUGUUCUGGCGUGGUGUUCUUGAAGAACUGUUGUGGUUCAUCAGUGGCUCAACAAAUGCAAAGGUUUUACAGGAAAAAAAUAUUCGUAUAUGGGAUGGCAAUGCGUCAAGGGAGUAUCUUGACAGUAUUGGUCUAUCACAAAGAGAGGAGGGUGACUUGGGACCAGUUUAUGGAUUUCAGUGGAGACACUUCGGUGCUGAAUAUACUGACAUGCAUGCUGAUUACACGGGGAAAGGUUUUGAUCAGUUAGCUGAUGUCAUUAACAAGAUCAAGAAUAACCCUGACGAUAGGCGUAUCAUUAUGUCUGCAUGGAAUCCAACAGAUCUCAAGAAGAUGGCACUUCCACCUUGCCACAUGUUUGCACAGUUUUAUGUCGAGAAUGGAGAAUUAUCCUGUCAGAUGUAUCAACGUUCAGCUGACAUGGGGCUUGGUGUACCAUUCAACAUUGCAUCAUAUUCUCUUCUGACGUGUAUGAUUGCACAAGUUUGUGAUCUUUCUCCUGGAGAUUUUGUCCAUGUGAUGGGCGAUGCCCAUGUCUACAGCACGCACGUCCAAGCCUUGGAGGAACAACUUCAGAAGCAGCCCAAGCCAUUUCCUAUUCUGAAGAUAAACCCUCUGAAGAAGGAUAUAGACGCGUUCGUCGCGUCAGACUUUAAGCUGGUCUCCUACGACCCGCACCAGAAGAUAGAGAUGAAGAUGGCAGUAUAA
rnacentral:rRNA from 1 species